UACGUAGGGGCCAAGCGUUGUCCGGAAUUAUUGGGCGUAAAGAGCUCGUAGGCGGUUCGACAAGUCGACUGUGAAAUCUCCACGCUCAACGUGGAGGGGUCAGUCGAGACUGUCGUGACUCGAGUCCGGUAGGGGAGUGUGGAAUUCCCGGUGUAGCGGUGAAAUGCGCAGAGAUCGGGAGGAACACCCGUAGCGAAGGCGGCACUCUGGGCCGGUACUGACGCUGAGACGCGAAAGCGUGGGGAGCGAACAGG
rnacentral:rRNA from 1 species